rnacentral:rRNA from 1 species
UAUCAAAAACAUCUUCUCUUGUUAAUAAUUUAUGAGGUACGGCCUGCCCACUGAUUAAUUGAAGGGCCGCGGUAUUUUGACCGUGCAAAGGUAGCAUAAUCAUUAGUUCUUUAAUUGUGAACUGGUAUGAAUGGCUUGACGAGGUAUUAACUGUCUUUUAUUAGUGAUUAAUUGAAUUUGGAUUUUAAGUAAAAAUACUUAAAUUUUUUUAUGGGACGAGAAGACCCUAUAGAGUUUUACAUGAAUAUUUCUUUAUUGUUUGUAUUGAUUUGGUGAUUUGUUCAUGUUUUGUUGGGGUGAUGGGAAGAUAUAAUUAACUCUUCUUUGUUUUGGUACACUUAUUUGUGUAUUGUUUGUCGAUCCUUUAUUAUCGAUUGCAAGAUUAAAUUACCUUAGGGAUAACAGCGUAAUCUUUUUUGAGAGUUCUUAUCGACAAAAGGGUUUGCGACCUCGAUGUUGGAUUAGGGUGAAUUUUUGGCGUAGAGGCUAAAAGAAUUAAUUAGGUCUGUUCGACCUUUAAAACCUUACGUGAUCUGAGUUCAGAC